GUACUUUUAUCCUGCAUGGGAUGUGAGUUAAAUGUUCAAGGUAUCGGAUGGGCAUGCGUCCUAUUAGUUAGUUGGCGGGGUAACAGCCCACCAAGACGAUGAUAGGUAGGGGUUCUGAGAGGAAGGUCCCCCACAUUGGAACUGAGACACGGUCCAAACUCCUACGGGAGGCAGCAGUGAGGAAUAUUGGUCAAUGGACGAGAGUCUGAACCAGCCAAGUCGCGUGAGGGAAGACUGCCCUAUGGGUUGUAAACCUCUUUUAUAAGGGAAGAAUAAGUUCUACGUGUAGAAUGAUGCCUGUACCUUAUGAAUAAGCAUCGGCUAACUCCGUGCCAGCAGCCGCGGUAAUACGGAGGAUGCGAGCGUUAUCCGGAUUUAUUGGGUUUAAAGGGUGCGUAGGCGGUUUAUUAAGUUAGUGGUUAAAUAUUUGAGCUAAACUCAAUUGUGCCAUUAAUACUGGUAAACUGGAGUACAGACGAGGUAGGCGGAAUAAGUUAAGUAGCGGUGAAAUGCAUAGAUAUAACUUAGAACUCCGAUAGCGAAGGCAGCUUACCAGACUGUAACUGACGCUGAUGCACGAGAGCGUGGGUAGCGAACAGGAUUAGAUACCCUGGUAGUCCACGCCGUAAACGAUGCUCACUGGUUCUGUGCGAUAUAUUGUACGGGAUUAAGCGAAAGUAUUAAGUGAGCCACCUGGGGAGUACGUCGGCAACGAUGAAACUCAAAGGAAUUGACGGGGGCCCGCACAAGCGGAGGAACAUGUGGUUUAAUUCGAUGAUACGCGAGGAACCUUACCUGGGUUUAAAUGGGAAAUGCCGUAUUUGGAAACAGAUAUUCUCUUCGGAGCGUUUUUCAAGGUGCUGCAUGGUUGUCGUCAGCUCGUGCCGUGAGGU
rnacentral:rRNA from 1 species